rnacentral:rRNA from 1 species
GUGGGGAAUCUUCCGCAAUGGACGAAAGUCUGACGGAGCAACGCCGCGUGAGUGAAGAAGGUUUUCGGAUCGUAAAGCUCUUUCGUUAGGGACGAACGUGCUCUUUGUGAAUAAUGAGGAGUAAUGACGGUACCUAAAUAAGAAGCCACGGCUAACUACGUGCCAGCAGCCGCGGUAAUACGUAGGUGGCAAGCGUUGUCCGGAAUUAUUGGGCGUAAAGCGCGCGCAGGCGGGAUAUCAAGUCUGUCUUAAAAGUGCGAGGCUCAACCUCGUGAGGGGACAGAAACUGGUAUUCUUGAGUGUCGGAGAGUAAAGUGGAAUUCCAAGUGUAGCGGUGAAAUGCGUAGAGAUUUGGAAGAACACCAGUGGCGAAGGCGACUUUCUGGACGAUGUCUGACGCUGAGGCGCGAAAGCUAGGGGAGCGAACGGGAUUAGAAACCCCGGUAGUCC